UCCAGACUCCUACGGGAGGCAGCAGUGAGGAAUAUUGGUCAAUGGCCGCAGGGCUGAACCAGCCAAGUCGCGUGAGGGAUGACGGUCCUAUGGAUUGUAAACCUCUUUUGUCAGGGAGCAAAGGGCGCCACGUGUGGCGCUUUGCGAGUACCUGAAGAAAAAGCAUCGGCUAACUCCGUGCCGGCAGCCGCGGUAAUACGGAGGAUGCGAGCGUUAUCCGGAUUUAUUGGGUUUAAAGGGUGCGCAGGCGGAGGUGCAAGUCAGUGGUCAAAUUGCGGGGCUCAACCCCGUACUGCCGUUGAAACUGCAUCCCUUGAGUGCGCGAGAAGUAUGCGGAAUGCGUGGUGUAGCGGUGAAAUGCAUAGAUAUCACGCAGAACUCCGAUUGCGAAGGCAGCAUACCGGCGCUCAACUGACGCUCAUGCACGAAAGCGUGGGUAUCGAACAGGAUUAGAUCCCCCCGUA
rnacentral:rRNA from 1 species